AUUCCUUAUAAUUAAAUUUUCUUGGCAUGUGAUCUAUAAAUUCUCAUAGGCAAACAACAUCCACAUAUGCAUAUCUACAGUAUCCCAAACAUGAAGACUUCAUCCCCCCUGCUCGUGCUCCUUGUACUUGUCUUCAUUGCUUCUAGUACUCUAGGGGGUGUAGCUUUAAAUGCCUGCGUUGUCCGUACGCCCUGCGAUAACGGCUCAUGCGACUCCUACUGCUUUUACAAUAAUGCUAAUCAUAGUCAUGGCAAAUGUCGCGACAUUCAAACCUGUUGUUGUUACGGUUGAAGAAAAUAUUUUGAUUAUGGAAUAAGAAUUAAUAAAGGAGGAGGGAUUGGGCAAUAAUGUAAUUAUAAUAAAAAUGAAUAAAUUUCUAUAGAGUUCAUUAUGAGACAAAGAAAA